rnacentral:rRNA from 1 species
AACGAACGCUGGCGGCAUGCCUAACACAUGCAAGUCGAACGAGACCUUCGGGUCUAGCGGCGCACGGGUGCGUAACGCGUGGGAACCUGCCCUUAGGUUCGGAAUAACUCCCCGAAAGGGGUGGUAAUACCGGAUACUGUCUUCGGAGCAAAGAUUUAUCGCCUUUGGAUGAGCCCGCGUUGGAUUAGGUAGUUGGUAGGGUAAAAGCCUACCAAGGCGACGAUCCAUAGCUGGUCUGAGAGGAUGAUCAGCCACACUGGGACUGAGACACGGCCCAGACUCCUACGGGAGGCAGCAGUGGGGAAUAUUGGACAAUGGGCGCAAGCCUGAUCCAGCAAUGCCGCGUGAGUGAUGAAGGCCUUAGGGUUGUAAAGCUCUUUUACCCGGGAUGAUAAUGACAGUACCGGGAGAAGAAGCCCCGGCUAACUCCGUG